UCCCCUUCGGGGGGCGAGUAGAGUGGCGCAUGGGCGAGUAACACGUAGGUAAUCUACCUUUGGAUUGGGAACAACCACCGGAAACGGUGGCUAAUACCGAAUAAUGCAGCGGCACCUAAUGGUGACAGUUGUUAAAGCGGGGGAUCGCAAGACCUCGCGUCUGAAGAGGAGCCUGCGGCAGAUUAGCUAGUUGGUAAGGUAACGGCUUACCAAGGCGAUGAUCUGUAGCCGGCCUGAGAGGGCGGUCGGCCACACUGACACUGACAUACGGGUCAGACUCCUACGGGAGGCAGCAGUCGGGAAUUUUGGGCAAUGGGCGCAAGCCUGACCCUGCAACGCCGCGUGAAGGAUGAAAUCCCUCGGGAUGUAAACUUCGCAAGAACGGGAAGAAUAAGUAAGAGCUAACAUCUCUUACGAUGACGGUACUGUUUGUAAGCUCCGGCUAACUCCGUGCCAGCAGCCGCGGUAAUACGGGGGGAGCAAGCGUUGUUCGGAUUUACUGGGCGUAAAGGGCGCGUAGGCGGCCACCGCAAGUCGACUGUGAAAUCUCCGGGCUUAACCCGGAAAGGUCAGCCGAUACUGCGGGGCUAGAGUGCAGAAGGGGCAACUGGAAUUCUCGGUGUAGCGGUGAAAUGCGUAGAUAUCGAGAGGAACACCUGCGGCGAAGGCGGGUUGCUGGGCUGACACUGACGCUGAUGCGCGAAAGCUAGGGGAGCGAACGGGAUUAGA
rnacentral:rRNA from 1 species